UACAUCGGAACGGUAGUCCCGUAGUGGGGGAUAGCCCGGCGAAAGCCGGAUUAAUACCGCAUAUGCUCUACGGAGGAAAGUGGGGGACUCGCAAGGGCCUCACGCUAUGGGAGCGGCCGAUGUCCGAUUAGCUUGUUGGCGGGGUAAUGGCCCACCAAGGCGACGAUCGGUAGCUGGUCUGAGAGGAUGAUCAGCCACACUGGGACUGAGACACGGCCCAG
rnacentral:rRNA from 1 species